rnacentral:lncRNA from 1 species
ACUCAUGUUUAACUAUAAAUUUAGACUCAGAACAAGAAUUUUAUAUUGACCCAUUGGCAUAUGAACUUUCAUUCAAUGUCACAGGUGCAACAUUAGCAGCCAGAAGCUGAGAUGCUGAAGAGUUUAAACUACCUGGUGAGCUGUGAAUGGAGAAACAUGACACACCAGAAAGUGCAACUGGAUUUCAAGAAAGCAAAAGUAACUACAUUUCCCUUGAAAAGGGGACUGAAGCCUUGCAGUCUGUUACGUACCAAUUGGAGAACAGGUCACUUCCAACCCCACUAAGAAAAGCAGAUACAGUGAACUACUACUUGCCUUUCUUCUCCUCAUACAUUUUUCACCAGAAGAGCAGAGAAAGUUGUUCUUCCCUGAAGAAAGACACUCCACAGAAAAAUCAAGAAGUCCAAAUAUUUCCAAGUGAGCACCAACUGGCAUGCCAUCUCUUGACAAUAUUGUUUCCUGAGAGUAAACCAUAAACAGCUAUACACCUGGGUACUAUAUUUUAGUAGAACAACCACAACAAAAAGACAAAAUCUGUGUUCCCUUUUGGUAUUUUGCUACCAGCUUCCACACUCAUCUAUGUAAUUGUCUGUGUUUUCCAAUAUCCUACAUAUAUUUUCUUCUGAGCAGACCUGCAGUGCCACUAAGGUUCUCAUUCAGACCAAUUUAUUAUGUAGGUCCUACAAGAAGUUAGCCAACUAAAACUGGUGUCUUACUCCAUUUUUGGAAAUAUCAACAUACAAAUUACAGUACAGGAAAAAGCCAUCAAUGCCUAUGAGUACAUCUCACUUCUAACACCACAUUAAAUCACACUUGAGAGAAUCACAGGACAGGCAGUAUCUCUUUUCACCUAUUUUGAGAAGCACUUUCAUCCAAUUAGGUGCUACAGUAAUAAAUUCUUAUUUUCAUUAUUAAAGAAGCA